AAACCAACAGGGAUUGCCUUAGUAACUGCGAGUGAAGCGGCAAGAGCUCAAAUUUGAAAUCUGGCACCUUCGGUGUCCGAGUUGUAAUUUGUAGAAGCAUCUUUUGGAUUGGUCCUUGCAUAUGUUCCUUGGAACAGGACAUCAUAGAGGGUGAGAAUCCCGUUCAUGGUGGGGAAUCCAAUUCUUUGUAAAGUGCUUUCGAAGAGUCGAGUUGUUUGGGAAUGCAGCUCUAAGUGGGUGGUAAAUUCCAUCUAAAGCUAAAUAUUGGCGAGAGACCGAUAGCGAACAAGUACAGUGAUGGAAAGAUGAAAAGAACUCCGAAAGGAGAGUGAAAAAGGACGUGAAAUUGUUGAAAGGGAAGUGCUUGAGAUCAGUCUUAAGGUUUAGUGAUCAGUCUUCCUUUUGGUUGGUGCACUCACUAUUUCUUAGGCCAACAUCAGUUUUCGCGGCAGGAUAAUGACAUUGGAAUGUGGCUCUUUCGGGAGUGUUAUAGCCUUUGUUGAUACUGCCUGCUUAGACUGAGGACCGCGCUUUUGCUAGGAUGUUGGCAUAAUGAUCUUA
rnacentral:rRNA from 1 species